CUGCAGCCAAUUAAGCCGACCAGGUUCCUUUCCUCAUAGGAGUCUGGUGUGCAAUGGUUGCAAACAGCAUACUCCUUGGUAGUGUAUGCAGCCUGCUGAAUGUGCAGGCUGCCCAAAGGAACCUUGGAGACAGUC
rnacentral:snoRNA from 1 species